GACGAACCGUGCGAACGUUGUUCGGAAUCACUGGGCUUAAAGGGCGCGUAGGCGGGCGAGCAAGUUCGGGGUGAAAUCUUUCGGCUCAACCGGAAAAGGGCCUCGGAGACUGCUCGUCUGGAGGGAGGUAGGGGCAGGUGGAACUGCUGGUGGAGCGGUGAAAUGCGUUGAUAUCAGGAGGAACACCGGUGGCGAAGGCGGGACUCUGGGCCGAUACUGACGCUGAGGAGCGAAAGCGUGGGGAGCAAACAGG
rnacentral:rRNA from 1 species